rnacentral:tRNA from 3 species
GCAGAUGUGGCGGAAUGGCAGACGCGCUAGCUUCAGGUGCUAGUGUUCGCAAGGACGUGGGGGUUCAAGUCCCCCCAUCUGCACCA